rnacentral:lncRNA from 1 species
GCCGUCCACUUUAACCGGGGAGAUGGGGUUACGCCCCCUUCCCCUAACCCAGAAUCAGGUGGUGGCAGCGCCCCGAAGAUCCCAGGGACCGCAAUUAUGAUGCUCCCUUUGUUUAAUGCCAGGAGGCAGCGGACACAUUGUGAUUCUUUACAGGGUGUUUGCCAAACAUUUAUGGGUGGAGGGAACAGAAGCUCUGGCCCUUCCACCUUGUUCUCCAGCCACUUUCCAGCUAAACACACACACACAUAUGCACACACACAUACUAUUGUUAAAUUCAAACACCCUGGGUUUGGUUUUUGCUGGUGGGGGUGGAGUGGAGUUCCUGGAGAAGCAAAGCAGUCCUAAAUCACCGAGUUGAUGGGUCUUUUGGGUGUUCCCACCAGUCCUUACUGAUCUCUACAAAAUCCCAAGUUACCAAGCUCUUCAACAAAUAGAAGACAGCUGUCAAACACCAUGGGCUACAGAUACAACGGGCAUAUUCAGCCAUCUUUCAGAAGAGUGAUAACAAAUGACUUAAUUUGGAAGAUUCACUCAAGAUCCAAUUUGAUUCAUCGCGGACAUGCCUGCACCUAAGUUCCUGGGGCCAAAGUGAGGAGGCAGCAGUUCUCCACCCAAUCAGACCAUCAUCCUCUUUUUGUAACUAGUAUCUUUAACACUCCCCUUACUAUCCUGAAAGGCUGAGCGAGUACUGGGAAAAAGGAAAUACCCAGACAUUUGAGGGAUCACUGACACUGCUUCUGAAUUAAUGCUAAUUCCUGAGGAUUGCAAACACCACUGGAUCCACCAAUCAAAAUGGGGAUCUAUGAGUGAAGUUUAUUAUGGUAAGACAGGCCAAAUGGAAGCCUCUGGAAUUUCCUCUUGAUACCAGAAUAGAAAACCAACAACAAUGCUCAAUCCCUGGAAAUAUGUAGAAAUUGGUACCACCAGAAAAGACGUAGAAGAUACAGGAAUGAUAAUACUGUCACAUCUCCAUUUAACUCACCUGUUGGGCCUAUGCAAAAGAUCUUAGAGAAUAACUAUGAUUUGUUAUUAAGUUGUAAACUUAAUCAAAUGGUAAUGUCAGUUGCAGCUGCUAUUCUAUAUAUGCUGUCUUUACCGCAACAAAGCAACUCAGCCCUAGGCACCUGGUGUGCACUAUUGAUAUGGCAAAUGCUUUUUAUCUAUUUCAAUUUUCACCAAAAGUUGUUUUCUUUUAUAUGGCAAGAUCAACAGUACACCUUUACAGUCUUCUCUAGGGGAUGUAAACACUCCCACUCUCUGGCAUAAUCUCAUCUGCACAGGUCUUGAUCACUAUGUUAAAGACAUCGAGCUGACUGGCCCUGAUAAACAGGAAGUAACAAAUAUUUUAGCUGCCUUAACAACACACAUGUGAGCCAGAGAUUGGGUAUAAACCCCAAGAAAAUUCAUCACCUUAGUGAAGUUUCUGGAGGUCCAGUGGUCUAGAAAACACCAGGAUAUUCUCCCCAACGUAAAAGACAAAUUACUUCACCUUGUACCAUCUACCACUAAGAAAAGAGACACAAUACUUUCUGGGUAUCCUUGGAUUUUAGAGGCAAUAUGUAUCACAUCUGAGUGUGAUGCUGUGACCCAUUUAUAGAGCAACCCAUAAGGCUGGAAUUUUUUAUUAGGAAUAAGGGGAGAAGAAAUAUCUGUAGCAGGACUUGAUGACCCAGAGGAAUCCAAUGAUACUUAAAGUGUCUGUGGCAAAUAAGGAUGCUAUAUAGAGCCUCUGGUGAGCCCUGAUUAGAUCUACAAUGCAGAAUUCCUUAGUUGUAGAGCAAGUCAUGCCCUCUUCUGCAGAUAACAAUUUUCUAUUUGAGGAAUGGUCCCUAGCUUGCUAAGUGAAUUUGAAUGACUGGCCAUGAGACAAUCAAGUGACUGCAAGCUCAGCUGCCCAUUAUGAACUGAGUGUAAUCUAAUCUACCAAUCCAUAAGACCAGACAUACACAAGAGGAAUUCCUCAUCAAAUGGAAAUGGUAUGUAAGAGACUGAGCUUAAGCAGGUCCAGAAAGCACAAGUUGCCUUAGCAGGUAGCUCAGAUUCCUUUGAUACUUACUCCUGGUGCCUCCUUAUCUUCAACUUCAUGGGGAAUUUCUUAAGACCAGUUAACUGAUUUACAGACAGUUCUCCUAAAUAUACUGGCACAAGCUGGAAGUGGUCUAUUCCAGCAUCACAGUCUCAAUAAGGAAUGCCCCCGAUGACAGUACUGAAGGGAAAUUUUCUCAGUGCAAGAAAUUUCCAGCAGCGCACCUAGGGUCUACUUUGUCUGGAUUGAGAGAGACGGUCAAAGGUAUAGAUCUACACUCAUUCACAGGCAAUUAUUGAUGGUUUUGCUGAAUGGUCAGCAACUUGGAAAGAUGAGGUGGUCCGGGAAAGAGGUUUGUGGGUGCACCUUUCAGAAUAGGCACAAAGUGUGAGGAAUUUGUGUGCCAUGUGAAUGCUCACCACAGAGCAUCUACUCUGAGAAGGCUUUUAGUAAUUAGGUGAAUGACACAUUCGGUGGAGUGGGCCUCUUUCUCCACCUAUUGCAGUGCUUGCUCAAAGUAGCCAUGGAGUCAGGAAUAAAGACUAUGUUUGGGCUUCAAAUCUUAGGCUUCUCUGCAGUAAGGCUGAUAUCUGACAACAUCAGAAAUCACACAUUGAGAGGCACCAUUUCCAAGGGAGACUAGUCAGCCAUGUGGUAGCAAAUUGAUUAUUUUGGAACCCUUCCUUCAUGGAGGGAACAGUUACUUGUCUUCACUAGAGUAGACACAUA